AAUGUCCAUUUAUUUCACGUUCUACCGUGAAUUGGAUGGACGGACGAAUUCGUCCACCGUGAAUUGGAUGGACGGACGAAUUCGUCCAUCCGGACGAAUUCGUCCGUCAAUUGGAUGGACGGAUUCGUCCAUCCAAUUCACGGUAGAACGUGAAAUAAAUGGACAUU